CCUACGGGAGGCAGCAGUGGGGAAUUUUCCGCAAUGGGCGAAAGCCUGACGGAGCAACGCCGCGUGAGGGAUGAAGGCCUCUGGGCUGUAAACCUCUUUUCUCAAGGAAGAAGAUCUGACGGUACUUGAGGAAUAAGCCACGGCUAAUUCCGUGCCAGCAGCCGCGGUAAUACGGGAGUGGCAAGCGUUAUCCGGAAUUAUUGGGCGUAAAGCGUCCGCAGGCGGCCCAACAAGUCUGCUGUUAAAAAGUGGAGCUUAACUCCAUCAUGGCAGUGGAAACUGUUGGGCUAGAGUGUGGUAGGGGCAGAGGGAAUUCCCGGUGUAGCGGUGAAAUGCGUAGAUAUCGGGAAGAACACCAGUGGCGAAGGCGCUCUGCUGGGCCAUCACUGACGCUCAUGGACGAAAGCCAGGGGAGCGAAAGGGAUUAGAUACCCCUGUAGUCCUGGCCGUAAACGAUGAACACUAGGUGUCGGGGGAAUCGACCCCUCCGGUGUCGUAGCCAACGCGUUAAGUGUUCCGCCUGGGGAGUACGCACGCAAGUGUGAAACUCAAAGGAAUUGACGG
rnacentral:rRNA from 1 species